GAAAAAUAUUAAUUUACGUUCAUUUCCUUUAUUUCAUUACAUGUUGAUUAUUGCAUAUAAUAGCAGUGUGUUAGUUUAUUUUUGUAAUUAUUUUGUUUAUCAAUUACCUAUCAAAAAAAUAUUUUAGUUUAUCAAUUAUCUAUCGCACAGGGUUCUAAUAUUUGAAAUUUUGCAGGAUAGAAUAUUAUCUGGACGACAUUAUCAAAUAGAUCCUUGGUAAAGUUACGUCAAACUGUAACUUUAUCAGUUUCUCUUUGGUAUUAAAUUUGCUGGAUGACGAGCAUGCGAACAUAUUACGACGAUCGUGCUUAUGGCCAUUGUAUUCGUUGCGUGAUGUACAGUGGUCGAGGCAGCUGCUCGUUACCCUACUAUGUCGGUUGCUAAAGCCAGUUGACGGAGAUGUCCUCCAUUUUGAUCUUGGGGGCAAGGUAGCGACGUUUUCCAUAUUUGAGUUUGCUCUCGUCACUAGACUAUGAUGUACGGAGAAAGAAGUGGCGAGAGCCCGUAUUCCGAGGAACAUGAGACUGUUGAAUGAAUAUUUUUGUGGAUAGACGACAGUUACUCUAGUGUAGUUGGGAGAUGCAUUAAGGAGAUGCGAUCAGAUGUCUAAUAGGCUAAACCUGGGCUUCGUGCUUAUCAUCGAUAGUAUACUCCGAUGUCAUCAUAAGAAGACUUCGAUUGACAUUUUCCAUUAGAAAGUUAUUGAUGAUUGUGUAGUUGGGAGAUGCAUUAAGGAGGGGGUUUUCGAUACUUAAAGGGGAUAAGCCCAAGCACAAGUACGAUGUAUAUGGACUGCAGUUGGUGCUGCAAGUACAUGUUUAAGUUAAUGAAUGACCUACGUUUUUUUAUUAAAUUCUAUAUAUAAUAAUUGUAAUUGUUGCAGAUAUGAGUGUAUGAAACUGUCCCCAUCUUGGCUAGUCGGUAUGGGAGGGGAGGAGAGGAGAGACACGCUACCCUCGGAUGCAUCACUGGGAAGCACAAGAUAAGCCACUUGCCAGACAGUUAUCGACCCUCCUCGACGAACCUGUGGUACAUAUUAUACAUUUGCGAUUUAUGUUGUAUGUCCUUUUACAAUCUCAAUACAUGGUCAUUAAUUAUAAAAUGUCAAAAUGUCAGCUUGAAAUUCUCACUGAGUUGGCACCGUCGAUCGAGGAGAAGAGUCAGCUUUAUAUUCGCGAAUUGUCUGUUCCGACUGCGCAUGACAAUCAGAUGCCUGAGUCUAGCGUGGAUUGAGAUAGGGUAUGUUACUGUGGAGGAUUUAUUGAAUAUCAUUUUGAUCUUGUAAUUAAGUGCUUCACUUGUAAUAUUUAUUUUUUCAGGAGAGUCUUUCAGUAUUACCUCCGUCGAGGAUGUCACCUCCGCUGAGAAGAUCACGUCCGGUUGUACCAGAGUUUCAGAUGUCCGAGUCACGCGUGGAUCGAAAUAGAGUAUGUUACUUAAAAAUAAUUUGUCGAUUGUCCUUUUGUUUUUUUAAUUAAAUUAUUAAUUUGUAAUAUUUAUUUUUUUAGGAGGGCCGUUCAGUAUCACCUUCUGCACCUAGUCAUUGUGUUUCGACGAUUGAUUUGUUCGAACUCCUGACGGAGAAGAGAGGAGACAUGGCAUUGUUACGAGAUGAUGUCGCGAUGCUACGUGCCGGGUUAGAAGACCUUCAUGCUGAGAUUGCAGCGAUACAAGGCGACAUAGUAGGCCUGCGGGGGACAGGCGACUAUCGGGAUGGAGGAGAUGGCGGAGGGAUUGGUGGCUAUCAGGACGGAGGAGGUAACGGAGGGACUAGCGGCUAUUGGGACGGAGGGGGCGAUGGAUGGGUUGGCGGCUAUCAUGACGAGGGUCGGUGGUUAUCAGGGGGAGGAGGUCAGAUGGGGUAUGUUAAGUCAUCGUGGCCAUCGGUAGCUGCAUUCGAUUCAUUUUUAAAUGACACGAUGGAUGGAGGAGCGAGAGGGGAUACCCAAGGCGGAGGGGGUACCCAAGAGGACGAUACUCGAGGAGGAGAGAGUGCCCGUGCUGGGGAUAUCCGGGGAUGUUGAAGGGUAUCGGAGGUGGAGGUGGUACCCAAGAGGACGCCAGACUCGCCGGACAUAGUUUUUAUGUCUGAGGAGGUGGUCCUGAUAGUGGACGAGGGAAUGGUCUCGAUGCCGGGGAGAUGGAGAUCCCCGAGAUGGAGGAGGAGAUAAUGCGUGCUGUUGACGUGCCGAAGCUGGUGGUUGGCAAGAGACAAAUGGUACCAUCACAGUACGUCGUUUCUCUCUUUACUGUGGAGGUUAAGAGGAGGAGGUUCGUCGACGGGACAUACCCAAUUUAUUCAGGGAGGUGGACCACGCUAAGUGGAAAGCCUUCGAGACGGAGAGGAGAGCAAUUAGGCUCGGAUAAGUAUUGUAUUUUAUAGAAUUAGUACAGUACGCAGACCUUGACAUAUGUAUACUUCUUGUAACUAAAAUUUCUGUUCUUAUUUUUUUAGGGCCAGUCGCACAAUUGCUCAUAAAACGAUCUCAAACGUUUAUAAGUGGUUCCACGACAUCACCACUUCGUAGGCUUGGCUCGUCGAUGAUGUAAGCGAAAACAAAAUAUUGUUAUUUAUUAUGUAAUGUUCAAUUUUGAUCUUUGAAUCAAAUUCAUGGAAUGACUCAUUUUUUUAUUGGUGAUUCUUGAUGUAGCACAUCAACUUGGCCAAGGAUUUGCUACGAUAUUGAGCUGAAAGACAUCCAAAAUCGUUCAACAUUCUUGGUCGACUCAUAUUGAACACCAAGUUCAUCCGUGCUGUUAACAUUAAGUACCAAUCGCUCCAAACUAUAGGUAACGAGUACACAGUGCUAACAAAUAUGAUGGAAUGGAUCGUAGGGAUGUGACCGAGUGUCGGAGGAAAGUCAUAGGAGGGCUGUAUGCAUUUGUACAUGCUAGUGUGUGUGAAUCAUCACGACAUUGUAAUGGAGAACGUAUUCGCCGACUCCACUACGUAUGUACACAACCUCAAUCAUUCAUGCCUGACACAAAGUCAACUCGAGUGGAAUCUAGAGUCUGUGUCUGUGAUCAUUUCCAUGAUGGCUAGAUGAGAAAACAUCACUUUACAGGACAAACUAACCAUCAUGCGGGACACGAUAACGGCAAGGCAACAAAUAUCGUAAGUGUUUGUAAUUUUAUUUUUUUUUAAUUUACAACUUAAUACAAUAUUUUUUAAUUGUAGGGGUGAUUGCGGAAUGUUCUUCAUCAAGUACGGAUAAUUUUUUAGUGUAACAUAUAAUAUUGAUGCAAUCAACCAGGUAUGGAUACAAAAUUGGAGAAUAAAUUAGCAUGUGAUUUAUUUAAAUUUAAUGGUGAUCCGUAAAUA
rnacentral:lncRNA from 1 species